UCGCGAACUACUUCUUUCUCUCAGUAGUUUUAAUUGUCUUUCAUAUACUUGGAGAAGUAUGACAGGUUCUAUGAUAUCAAAGAAAAUUUGCAUAUACGAUUAGUAGAGCGAGACGGGCGGUCACUCACAUUUAAACUUUUGAAGAAGUGCCGAUGAAAAUGAUGGGAUUCUGGAGGAUAAAGGAGAAAGUUUGAUGGGAUUGUA
ensembl:ncRNA T05A6.13 ncRNA